rnacentral:rRNA from 1 species
AGUGAACGCUGGCGGCAUGCCUUACACAUGCAAGUCGAACGGUAACGGGUCCUUCGGGAUGCCGACGAGUGGCGAACGGGUGAGUAAUAUAUCGGAACGUGCCCAGUAGUGGGGGAUAACUGCUCGAAAGAGCAGCUAAUACCGCAUACGACCUGCGGGUGAAAGGGGGGGAUCGCAAGAACUCUCGCUCUUGGAGCGGCCGAUGUCAGAUUAGCUAGUUGGUGGGGUAAGGGCCUACCAAGGCAACGAUCGGUAGUUGGUCUGAGAGGACGACCAGCCACACUGGGACUGAGACACGGCCCAGACUCCUACGGGAGGCAGCAGUGGGGAAUUUUGGACAAUGGGCGCAAGCCUGAUCCAGCAAUGCCGCGUGCAGGAAGAAGGCCUUCGGGUUGUAAACUGCUUUUGUCAGGGAAGAAAUCUUCUGGGCUAAUACCCCGGGAGGAUGACGGUACCUGAAGAAUAAGCACCGGCUAACUACGUGCCAGCCGCCGCAGUAA